rnacentral:rRNA from 1 species
UACAGAGGUCCCAAGCGUUGUUCGGAUUCAUUGGGCGUAAAGGGUGCGUAGGUGGCGUCGUAAGUCGGGUGUGAAAUUUCGGAGCUCAACUCCGAAACUGCAUUCGAUACUGCGGUGCUUGAGGACUGGAGAGGAGACUGGAAUUUACGGUGUAGCGGUGAAAUGCGUAGAUAUCGUAAGGAAGACCAGUGGCGAAGGCGGGUCUCUGGACAGUUCCUGACGCUGAGGCACGAAGGUCAGGGGAGCAAACGGG